AAUUUAACCGUUGACAAUAGCGAUAUAGACAUGUCCAUUAACAAACUGUAAAUCUAUUAGAUUAUUCCCUCUGCACGAGAUCGAACCGGUCUAAUGUCUGAACCGAACCUAAAAUUGGAAUCAGCGUCGCGAGAGGUCGUCGUUAGGCUGUUGAGUUGACUUAUUUAUGAUCGAAUCAAUUGUCUCGAAGGAGCGGGUUUUGGUGGCUGUGCUUGCGGUUUGUGCGUCUUGCUUUUGCCCCGAUCUGUUACCUUCUCUCUGGCGUUUCAGUUGCCCCUUCGAAUGCGAUUCUGUGGAGAUGGGGAAGGACGGCUUCGGCGUGGCACAAACUUCCAACGUGAUGCAAAACCCACAAACAAUCCGAAGAAGAAUUCUUCGAUUCUCCACGGCCAAUCCCCUUUCCAUUCCCUCGAAAUCUCAAUGCGUCUCGUCGUUCACAACCCAUUUAAAUCCUAACCCCAGAUUCAUACCCGAUCACCCCAUCCUACCCCUCUUGGCCGCCGCCUGGCCCCGGGCCGACCGCCGGGUCCUCCACCCCAACGUUAUCGCCUCGGGCCUCAUCCGCGACCCCUUCGCCCCCAGCCGCGUCGUCCAGUUCUUCCUCGCCCCCCGGCCGCCGACAAUAUGAAAAUGAUUGAUUGGAUGAUGCAAGGUGUAUAAGGAAUGAAUAGACCGGCUAUAGUCCAUUGAAUGCACAGGAAUUGCCCAUGAGUUCAUUGUUGGAGACACAAGUCAUCCUCUGUGCAGCGAGAUCUAAUGCUCUGUUGACAGAGAUUGAAAAGAAAUUUGAGAUGGUUUGAUAAGUAUUUUAGAUCUCAGAUGGUAGUCAGAAUCGAUCAUAAGGAGGUUACUGAUGUGUCCUAUCACUGAGAGAACCUGGGAAUGUAACUCGAUAUAAUAGAUGUAGACCAAAGAUGCCAAUUUGGUUGGCAGAAAAUCCUGCUCACCUAAUGCAAAUCUGCUAUCUAUGGUUGUCCAGAAAGCUGAGGCAGUUUGACAAGUUCAUCAAAGGGUCAUGUUCUUACAACAUCUGGUGGUAAAGGUGGUUGUGCAUAUCUCCUAUUUAGUUCUGAUGAAUUAAUGGCUUAUAAUUUACCUGACAUAAAUUUCUUAAGAGUUUAUCUGACAUUUUGGCUUUGUAUAUGUCAUGAUCAUUAAUUGCCAGUCUUUUUGUGACAUCUGAGAACCUUGAUGGAUACAGUGAACAGCUACAAGAGGACAAUGCUGAAGAAUCAUAAAUUCUUGAAUAAGUUGUGACCAUGCACAGAGGGCCAAGUUCCAAAAAGGUUACUAGCACUUUGCAAGUAAUUGCUCCUUUUCAUUUUUUUUUGGCCCUUUGCCCUUUGCUAUUACCUUAAUAUUUAAGAUGAAGCAUGUGAACUUGGGGAAGCCAUAGUGAUUGCUUAUCAUGAAAGGCUUGGGACAUAGGUGGUAUAUAUUAAGAUGUUUCUUUCAGGUGACUGGUCUGAACUGGGAGAUAACUGGUCUCAGAUUUGACAGUAUAUCAAGUUCAGUAGGUUAAGGUAUUCUGUGGCCCAAUAGUAGAUAUAUAACUUGGUUGUUGAUGGUAGCUGAUUCUUCACAUAUUCUGCCUUUUAAGAGUAUAUACAAAGAUUAAGCUAGAUGCUUCUCAGAAUGUGUGAAAGACAGUAUGCUAAAUGCAAAGAUCAAGCAAGAAUGAUGAUAGAAAGUAGUUUGGAUCAAACUCUCAAUGCUUGCAUCAUUCCAUGGAUUGUGACAACCCACAUAUACUUUGCAAGUGCACCAAAUAAGAUGAGUCAAACUAAGUUUUGGAAUAAUCCUGCCAUGACACUUAACUCAGAUAUUACAUGGUCUAAAUUUCCAAAAAGUACUCAGGAAGUUGUUGCAUAGGGUUGGAGGGUGACUCAUAUUAAUUAAUGUCAUCGAACACGCUAAAUAUGAGAUGAAUUAGAUCAAAUUGUAAUGCUAUUGUUAUGAUAUGACUGCUUGAUGGCUCUGGACUAACCUGUAUAAGAACAGUCUUUUUUGUGAAGAAUUAAUCAAGACUACAAAAGGAUACACUUGUUACAACUUUAGGCUUCACAUCAUGUCGAGGCUAUUGCUCGUCAUACUUAUUAGGAUCAAAUCAAAUCAGAAAGAAUAUUUGUCGAUGUUCCCUUAUCAAAGAUAAGCAAGGGCAUCAAUAUACCCCGAGGGAAUUCUAUCAACAGGUAAUCUCCACUUAUCUGAAGAUGCAGCUUUCUCAAAGAGAGACUUAGUAUGUGUACCAUGAACAAUUACUUUGAUCCUAUCAAAAGAAUUUUUUUCUCUCUCGAUAUUCACAACUCAUUGGAAUAUUUUAUUUUUAUGAAUAUUAGAAUCAUUUAUACUGUUAGUUAGUCUUUAAUUUCUCCUUGUCAUUUGGAAAUAAAUUACCUAAGAGAAUGUCAUGAUACUUUCCUGCUUGUGCUUAGUCUCUUUUUUCAACAUAUAUUCUGUCAAUGUAGUUUCACAAGGUAUGGGGACAACUCAUGAAGACUGGUUAUCAAAGCUCAUGCUUGGCUCAUCAGGUUUAGAGGUUUGCUUAUUUAUACACAAGACAAGUAACAAACUUGAGCUUGCACUCUCUUGACAAAUACUACAGUCCAAAUGAAGAUUACAUGCCCCAUGAAUUUGAUAUUCUUGGACCAGUAUAGGAAAAUCUCUCACAACUGCAGUCUUCCGUGUGGCAAGUGUAGAUGGAACUGCGACCCAACAUGAAAUUGAUGCAUUCACAGGAAGUCUCCUGGAGGUUUACAUAAUAGUUAGUCACCUUUCAAAUGCUUUCUAACAUGAUAUAACAAAGUUGUAGCUAAAGUAAAAUACUGAAGAUGAU